GGACUACAGGGGUAUCUAAUCCUGUUUGCUCCCCCAGCUUUCGCGCCUCAGCGUCAGCUAUAGCCCAGAAAACCGUCUUCACCACUGGUGUUCCUCCACAUAUCUACGCAUUUCACCGCUACACGUGGAAUUCCGUUUUCCCUAACUACGCUCGAGCAUGCCAGUUUCAAAUGCAGUUCCACGGUUGAGCCGUGGAAUUUCACAUCUGACUUAACUUGCCGCCUACGCGCCCUUUACGCCCAGUAAUUCCGAUCAAUGCUUGCACCCUCCGUAUUACCGCGGCUGCUGGCAC
rnacentral:rRNA from 1 species